GGUGUGACCCUAACUACUGGGCGUACUGGGAGGAAUACAAUUAUGUCACAUACAACUGGCGGUUGCGCUUGACGUGCGACAGCGUACGACGAACCUGGAUACCUGAAGACGGUGUACCUGAGGAGGUCCACAUCCCAUACUGUAUAUACAACACGGCAAUUGACGUCUCCAGUAGUUGGUUCUUCCACGUCUUCGCCCUGCUAGUGGUCUAUGUUCAUGGUAAAUCAAGGCCCUGAAGAGAUAGUCUCCCUAGUUAACCUAAAGGGAGAGUCCCUAGCUCAUUAAAGAGAUAGUCUCCCUAGUUCCUUAAAGAGAUAGUCUCCCUAGUUCCUUAAAGAGAUAGUCUCCCUAGUUCCUUAAAGAGAUAGUCUCCCUAGUUCCUUAAAGAGAUAGUCUCCCUAGUUCCUUCUUCAAUGACGUCCUUAAAAGAUAAUCUACCUAAGUCCUUUAACAUAGGUGCCCUUAAAAGAAUUCUAUUUUUUUAAGCACAAACGCAAUAGACCAGCCUUCAGAAAGUUUAUUGAGAAAUAUUAAUACACAUAAAUGUUUCAAGUAUAAUGAAACCAAAGUAUUCUUUAUGAUGUUUUUGAGGUAAAGUUUUUAAUGGAUCGGAUAUAAUUUAUAGGCAUCUUGUAACAACUGUAUAUUCAUUUUUGUGCAGUGAAUAACAUGUACUGUAUAUAGGCUAUAUGUGGGGUGUCGUAGCCUAGCCGUAAUAAAAGCCAACCUAGAUUUAGUUAUACUGUAUACUACUAUCGAGUAUCGUUGUAGCUGCAGUAUCGUAAAUAUUGUAAAGUUAAUGUAGAUAAUGCAGAAAUGUAUUUCAAUUUAAUACACUACUGUAAUUAGAUAUUUAAGUAAAUUGUAUUAUACUCGUAGGUUCUGAAAUGUUUUCCUAGUACUGUACCGCAAAGUUUGAAAAAAGAUGACUAGCAUC